rnacentral:lncRNA from 1 species
AAUGAUGUAACGUCUUUUUUUAAUAUGUACACCUACCAAAAACUCGACACAGGAAAUGCAUUGCUUCACAUAUUCUGGUUUCAUAUACAGUUCAGUCAGAACAUUCUGGGCCAUUAUACAGUUCACCUGAGAACAAGUUGUAAAACCAAACCAAAGUUGAGAGACGAUCCAAAGACACCAUCACAAGGGUCAAAUAAACCUUAUAUAACCGUUUAUUUUUAAAUAUAGUAUAUUCACCUUGAAAAUGUUAAAACAUCCGUCUAUGGCCUAAAUUGUAUGGCGUGCAGUAUUGCACAAAAUGUUGAAUCAUCACAUCUAGGGUUGCAAAAUUCCCAGGUUUUCCAGAAAUCCCAGUUGGUAGAUUCCAGGAAUCAGGUGGAAAUACACAGACAAUCCUGAAUCCUCCGACCAGGAUUUCUGGAACACCUGGGAAUUUUGGGAAAGUUAGGGUCAUUCUGUAACCCUGAUCACAUCCACAUUUCGCAUAGUACAUAAGACUGUGCACCCACUGACCACCAAAACAUGUUACAGCAAUAACCAAUUCACAUAACUGUAUUCUUUCAUAAAAUCCUUACCUCAUGUAUUCCAAUUAAAAACAUUGAGAGCAUCAAUAGGCAACAUUUUAAAGUAGAAAAAUGUUUAUCAACGCUCAACAACUGCAUACAAAGUGUGCAAGUGUCACUGUACAGUCGCACAAGACAAAUUCAAGCAAAGGCACCAUACUCAUAUAGUGAAGCUUCCAUUCCACCCAUACUGGUCACAGAACAACAAAAAUGUACUACAACCACUGCUGACAAAAAUAAGCAACUCUAAUAUUAAAUCUGUCAGAUAAAAGAAUAGUGGUUUAUGAUCAUAACCAUACUACAAUAACAUUGGAUCAGUGGCAUUUUAUGAAUAUGAUAAAUUACUGUAGCAAGACAUUUCUUUUUUUUUUUUUACAGAAAUGUAACUAUUUUCUAAAUCAUAUGAGCCUCUACACAACUCCCUGGAGAGAAAGUUUUGCUUUCCAAUGUUAUGUUAAUUUGAGUUGAUUUUGCAAUUCAGACAGUUCUAAAGUGGGCAACAUUCAACCCUUGUGUUGAGGUAGAGAAUGCUAACAUUUAGCCUGUUGUGGCUGAAGCAAAGUAAUGAAACCCUAAUCCUAGACGUAGUCACUACUGGUCUAUGACUACUUCCAAGAUAAGUAAAAUAAUGGAAAUAUUACUUUUGAACAAACUGUCCCUUUAAGGGAAUAAUAUUGGGACCAAAUUAACUGAAUCGAACACUAGAGCACAAAGUCUUCAAAACAAUAAUUUUACAAAGACAUUUCCAUACCACAGAACAAUGAUAAUAAAAAAGUUGUGUUUAAAUUCAUGUCAGCUUACUAAUAUCCAUCAAACUGUGCAUUUCUGGAGAACCUUUUUAGGUAGUGCAAUAGAAUUUCUCGCAGUACAACAUUGAAUCACCAUUCAGUCUGAUUUAUAAUAUACUAAUACUGACAUUCCAGAGAGAUAGAUACUGACCAUCCAUUUUCAUUGCAUACACAACAGCUGAAAUUACAAAGCCACAGUUUCCAAGAAGUACCACAGCAAAUGUUUACAACGGUGAGUUAAAGUGAUAGGGAACGUCAUGUAAGUUAGUUUUCCUCAUAGAGGACGAUCUAUGAUAAUUCAUUGUCUUCCACCUGGUCUUCUGAACCAUAAUGGAAAAUGUCUGAGGAGGAUACCACAUUGUCAUGUCUGUCUGUGGCAGGAGGGUCACAGACCAAUUGAGGUGUGAGGGAGGGAUUUACAACAACAAAUCGGCAACCAUGUGCAAAGUCCCCUGCAUGUCGCUGAUAUAGUACAGUAAUGAUCUGCUCCUGUGAUUGGCCGAUGUAGAUCCAAGAGAGCAGUGACGUCCUCCAUUAUUCACACAGAGCUUUCAGAUUAGAUCAGCAGUGUUUGCAGCUAUAUUGGAAUGACAUCAUCAUUAGUUCUCCUGAGAACUCCCAUUCAAAUUCCCCUGAAAUAAAAACACAGCCACAAUAAAACCAGCGUGGCAAAGGGCUUAUUCAGCCUGAAGUCACAGUCUAGAAUGAAACAUUUUCCAUAUCUAGCAGAUGUAAAGAGUAAAACAUCUAAUCGCUUAUGGAGAAACAUCAAAGUCAAAUUCACGGGCUCAGAAGAGGACAAAUACAUCAACUUGCAUUUACAUUUUCACAAGCAUUUUGAUGCGUCGCAAGUACAGUGAGCUUCAAAAGUAUUGGGACUGACAUGUUGUUUUGGCUCUGUACUCCAGCACUUUGGAUUUGAAAUGAUACAAUGACUGAGGUUAAAGUGCUGACUUACAGAGCCAAAACAACAACAAAUGUCAGUCCAAAUAUGUUUGAAGCUCACUGUUAGUGGCAACAUCUCCAUAUCCAGUUGACUAUGACAGAAAGUAAAGCUGCCUUUCAAAAAUUGUCCAUAGAAAAAUAUCCAUUGAAUGCCACGGUUAGAUUAGAAAAAUAAAGAGGGCCAAACUACAGGGAGAGUGGAGUGGAGGGGGAGGAGCCAGGUCAGGUCCAGGCCACUUUCCUUGAGAUGGCCUGCUUGAAGCACUCUGGGUCCACGUUGCCUCCAGGCCGCAGAGCUCUCUCCAGGCUCACCAGGACAUUCUGGUGACACUCCCUGAUGUUAACAGGGUACUUGGCCCUCAGCAGCUCGUAGGCCGAGAUCAGCCGCAUAUUCUGCUUCACCAUGAGGUACUGGAUGAUACAGGUCGGAGCCAGGGAGUACCCGUCACGGCAGUGGACCAGCACUCGUUUCCUUUUUUCCGUGGAAGCCUCGAUGCACUCGUUGAUGUCCUCGAAGCAGUGCUGCUUCAGGGCGGGGCUUCCCUCGCCCAGCGCGUCUGGGACAUCGCAGAUGUCCACCUUGAGGCGGGACCAGCUGUGGCGGGCGCCUCGGGAGCAGGUGCAAGGGAUAAGGCUGAGGCUUGGGCCGGGGUCCCCCGGCAUGCUGCUCAUGUCGAUGAUGCUGUCAAUGUUGUUGCGACACAGCGUGCGCCCGUUGUACGCUGCGUUCAGGUUGCCCACGAAGAUGUAGUCCGUCACCUUGGAGAUGACGGGCUCAGAGUACUGGAAGUGUUCCGGGACGUUCAGUUUGGGUGUGUCUGGGGUGUCUGGUGGACCCGUCCUACCCACUGCCCCCACCCCGGCCGGACCUGUGGCAGCCCUCAUGCUGUAGUUACGCAGCUUCUUGGAGCCGGAGCGGGAGGGGGGGUUGGAGUCGGACUCUGAGCUGCUGUUCCAGGGAGGGGAAAAUAGGGAGAAGCGGCUGGAGGACUUGCUCUUGGUGAGGUUCUCCACGGGGCUGGAUAGGCCAGAGCUGGAGGCCGUGGUGGAACCAGAGGCACAAAACAACGAGGCCCUCUCCAGGGAGCCUGUGCUGCUGGCUGCUCCUGCACUGUGGGCCUGCUCCAUCUGCAGGGAGACACAAACGACAUCAAACACACACACAAAGCAUACUGAAGUAGGGCACCAUACCAAAAGAUAGGACACCGAUAUUUUCUAAGAAAUUCAUUUUGGGAUGCCAGCAAUACAUUCAAAUACUAGUAACAAUCAGGGGCUGGAACCGAAAAGGUAUUUUUUUGGGGGGAGGAACAGAACCAGAACCGACAACGAAUGUGAUCUAAACUGUUCUGGAACAGAGCCAUUAUUUUAAAAAGCAUGGCAACCGGUUAACGUUAUUUUACAUUCCGGACAUUUUUUCCCAGUCCCACAAAAAAAAACAAUAAAGCACCUAUGCAGAGCCCUCACUGUCAACUCAGAAACUAAUUCCAGUGUCUGCCUGCCAGCAGGAAAUCUUUGUCAGUGUGUGUGUG